GUAGGGUGCGAGCGUUAAUCGGGAAUUACUGGGGCGUAAAGCGUGCGCAGGCGGUUGUGCAAGACAGAUGUGAAAUCCCCGGGGCUCAACCUGGGAAUUGCAUUUGUGACUGCACGGCUAGAGUGUGUCAGAGGGGGGUAGAAUUCCACGUGUAGCAGUGAAAUGCGUAGAGAUGUGGAGGAAUACCGAUGGCGAAGGCAGCCCCCUGGGAUAACACUGACGCUCAUGCACGAAAGCGUGGGGAGCAAACAGGAUUAGAUACCCUGGUAGUCCACGCCCUAAACGAUGUCAACUAGUUGUCGGGUCUUAAUUGACUUGGUAACGCAGCUAACGCGUGAAGUUGACCGCCUGGGGAGUACGGUCGCAAGAUUA
rnacentral:rRNA from 1 species